GGCCCUUACCUCCAAGUAAAAAAGUUACGUGCAGUGAAUGGCUUCGUGGAAAGCCGUGCUACCGCUUCUGGUUUGCAUAUUACCCUGAUAUUUACGGAUUUUUCUGGCCCUACAUGUUCUACACUGGAUGCCGAGAAUGGAAGAAUAAACUUUAUGUUUACGAUCCACGGGUAAAGACCUGUCAAGAAAUACCGAGUUGUUUGUCAUGCGAAGGUGUAUGAGCACAUGCGUGUCUGUUCCAUGGAGGUCUCUAAUACUUCAACGCCAUAACUUCAAGCACAGUACGUUUGUACAUCAAUAAAUCACGUGACAGCAGGUAUAACGUGACAGGAGAAUGCACAAGACCGGAUUGAUUGGUGAAUCGAUGAAGAAGCCGUUGCCCUGCACUGAGCGUAGUCAGGCUGCUGCUGAUUACGAUGUAUGUGAGGUACAUUCUCAAAUAAGGAAUAGUACUUUACCCCUAUCCAUCAAGGGCAACGUAUAUAACAGAUGUUAUUUACUGCCAUAAAAAGAUAUUCUUUUGAAACGUAUAAAAUUAUGUUCAGAAUUGAGCUUCUCAGCGAAAAAAACUGCAUCCCAUCUUGCACUUACUUGUGCAGGACGGGACUGUCUUUUGGCCACUCAUUGUUCCGAAUGAGGGUGCUAGUCAUUGUUUGAAAAGGCAAGUGUUCUCGCGUCCCACACGAACGAAGGCACAAGACUUGUAAUCUAAGCCACAGCAGUCGCUCGAGGCGGCUGCAUCAGUGAAGCACCAACAUCUUUAUCGGCAAAGGAUUGGCGUGUUUAAAUCGGCACAUGAGGGUCUGGGAUGAGCACGUGGUUUUUUGCAGUCUCUUUUGAUUUUGUUGUUGUGUGUUUUUUGUUUUCUCCUUAAGCAAGUGAUGUUAUCUUCUUUCUUUUUUGUACCAUAUAUAUGUGCGCCUUAGUAGUAAUAAAUAAGUUGAAAGUCUG